GGAGAGGUCUGACAGAGCGACGCCGCGUGGAUGAUGAAGGCCGUCGGGUUGUAAAGUCCUUUUGCUGGGGAAGAAUAAGCGAGGGAGGGAAUGCCCGCGUGAUGACAUGAACCGGCGAAUAAGCCCCGGCUAACUACGUGCCAGCAGCCGCGGUAACACGUAGGGGGCAAGCGUUGUUCGGAAUUACUGGGCGUAAAGGGCAUGUAGGCGGCCUUGUAAGCUUGGCGUGAAAGUCCACGGCUUAACCGUGGGAUUGCGUUGAGAACUGCGAGGCUUGAGUGACGGAGAGGGAGCUAGAAUUCCUGGUGUAGGGGUGGAAUCUGUAGAGAUCAGGAAGAAUACCAAUGGCGAAGGCAAGCUCCUGGCCGAUGACUGACGCUGAGGUGCGAAAGUGUGGGGAUCAAACAGGAUUAGAUACCCUGGUAGUCCACACUGUAAACGAUGUGCACUAGGUGCUGGGGCGGAUGCUUCAGUGCCGUAGCUAACGUGAUAAGUGCACCGCCUGGGGAGUAUGCUCGCAAGGGUG
rnacentral:rRNA from 1 species